AUGGUCAAGACCCAAAACUUCUAUUGUAUAGCAUCCCUGGAACAGAGAACAGGAGGCAGUCAAGGCCCCAGCUUCAACCUUUUGACAAUCCCUGGCGCCGCCGCUCUUGAGGUCGCCUCUCGCGUGCUGGCCUCAUCGUCGGAACGGCGCUUCCUGAGGCUUUAUAUAAGGACGGCUCUGAAUCCGCUCGUCGGGAUUAAAUCCUGCGCUGGCGCGCUCCUGCCCGCCUCUGGCCUCCAUUUGCUCUACCUGAGGCUCCCUCCAGAAGAACUUUCCCUUAGCCUCAGUGCAGUGCCUUUCGGGCUCCUCAGACCAGACACAGGCCAAAGCCACCGCAGAAUCCGGAAGCCCUGGCAGUCAUGUCUGGCAGGGAAAGGGGGAAAAGGCUUAGGCAAAGGGCGCUAAGCGCCACCGCAAGGUCCUGAGAGACAACAUUCAGGGCAUCACCAAGCCUGCCAUUCGGCGUCUAGCUCGGCGUGGCGGCGUUAAGCGGAUCUCUGCCUCAUUUACGAGGAGACCCGCGGUGUGCUGGAAGGUGUUCCUGGAGAACGUGAUUCGGGACGCAGUCACCUACACCGAGCACGCCAAGCGCAAGACCGUCACAGCCAUGGAUGUGGUGUACGCGCUCAAGCGCCAGGGGCGCACACUGUACGGCUUCGGAGGCUAGGCCGCCGCUCCAGCUUUGCACGUUUCGAUCCCAAGGCCCUUUUUAGGGCCGACCACUCGCUCAUCUGAGGAGCUGGACACUUGACUGCAUAAAUGCAACAGUAACGAUGUUGGAAGGUAACUUUGGCAGUGGGGCGACGGUCGGAUCUGAAGUUAACGGAAGCUACUGUGGCCAUGGCGCUCACAGCCGUAAAGCUUAAGUCGUUGACCGAAAGCGGCUUUUUCACUUACUUGGGCUUUUUUUUUUUUUUUUUUUUUUUUGCCUUUAUCGAUAUGAAAGGUUGAAUGUGCUCUAGGUUUGAGCACUACUUUCUCGGCUUGCUCUUCUGGAGCAGCAUAUAGGCACACCUAGAGGGGCACGUCUUUGCGAUCACCAGAUCUGGUUCUGAGAAACAGGCACUGGCAAUUUACACGUGCCUUGCUAUGUAAUCUCCCUAUAUUUGCUCAGGCAAAGUGGGAGAAGCAGCCUUAGAUCUUCAUUCUAUAGAUGCCGGCUUUCCCACCUGAUCGGCUUAGAUUUCGCGAUUGACUGUUCUGGGCUUCAUUUUACCCUCUACAUAACAAGCGGGUGGACUAGAUCCCUUAGUAAGGGUCCAUGUUAUGUGGUAUCUUCAGCCACGCACUCAGCUCAAUCUUAGUACAGUUAAAAAAAAUGAAUUUCUAGCAAGCUAUCCUGCCCAGUGCCUGAAAAGUAUCAUUUCUUGUGUUCACUAAAAAGGCUCCUAAUUUAAUCAAGGACCUAUGAGAUAACUGUCUUUCAGCUGUGGCAUUGCAAGGAUACAAAUGCAGAGACAUUUUAAUGUGAUCCUUCUAUAAGAGUGAACCAACGAUAUGAUCUGAAAGCAGCUCCACAACUAAUUCAGGCUUAUGAUUUUACUGUGUAUGUAUUUGGAAGAAGAAAUUCUGUCAGCUCCCAAAGGAUAAACCAGCAGUUGCUUUAUUGGUUUUCAGAUGUGGCUGCUCUCACCAGCAUCAAACACUUGAGACUGAACUAAGCUUAAAACACGGUACUUAGCAAUCAGGUUGCCGGCAAAGCACUGGUGCGAGACUUGCCUUCCAGGAGCUUACCAAUGGGGCUGCCAGCAAAGUGGUGGAUGCAAGACUUGCCCUCCAGGAGCUUACCAUCAGAACGGAGAAGACAAUAAAUGCAUAAUAUAUAGACGACAUAAAUCCAUACCUGUACACAUUUAAGAAUAAACAGUCCAACAGUAAGAGGCAGUACAUAUUCAAUAUGCUGAGAAAUGCAGACAAUAACUACUAUAGGAAUCCUAAUGCUACAGGAGUCACUGGCUGCUGGGAAACCAAGGAAAACUUGGCUAUGGACGUUGGGGCUUGUGUCGGACUCUGAAUAAAGGGCAGAAUGAUUGGCA